rnacentral:rRNA from 1 species
AUUGAACGCUGGCGGCAGGCUUAACACAUGCAAGUCGAGCGGGGUGAUGGUGCUUGCACUAUCGCUUAGCGGCGGACGGGUGAGUAAUGCUUAGGAAUCUGCCUAUUAGUGGGGGACAACAUCCCGAAAGGGAUGCUAAUACCGCAUACGUCCUACGGGAGAAAGCAGGGGAUCACUUGUGACCUUGCGCUAAGAGAUGAGCCUAAGUCGGAUUAGCUAGUUGGUGGGGUAAAGGCCUACCAAGGCGACGAUCUGUAGCGGGUCUGAGAGGAUGAUCCGCCACACUGGGACUGAGACACGGCCCAGACUCCUACGGGAGGCAGCAGUGGGGAAUAUUGGACAAUGGGGGGAACCCUGAUCCAGCCAUGCCGCGUGUGUGAAGAAGGCCUUAUGGUUGUAAAGCACUUUAAGCGAGGAGGAGGCUCUUUUGGUUAAUACCCAAGAUGAGUGGACGUUACUCGCAGAAUAAGCACCGGCUAACUCUGUGCCAGCCGCCGCCGUAA